UACGAGAGGCCCAAACGUUAUUCGGAAUUACUGGGCUUAAAGAGUCCGUAGGCGGCGCAGAAAGUAGGGUGUGAAAGCCCUCGGCUUAACCGAGGAAUUGCGCCCUAAACUACUGUGCUUGAGGAACCUAGAGGUGAGCGGAACUGAUGGUGGAGCGGUGAAAUGCGUUGAUAUCAUCAGGAACACCGGAGGCGAAGGCGGCUCACUGGGGGUUAUCUGACGCUGAGGGACGAAAGCCAGGGGAGCGAACGGG
rnacentral:rRNA from 1 species